rnacentral:rRNA from 1 species
UACGUAGGGUGCGAGCGUUAAUCGGAAUUACUGGGCGUAAAGGGUGCGCAGGCGGUCUCGUAAGCUGGGUGUGAAAGCCCCGGGCUUAACCUGGGAAUGGCAUUCAGGACUGCGAGGCUUUGAGUGCGGCAGAGGGGGGUGGAAUUCCGCGUGUAGCAGUGAAAUGCGUAGAGAUGCGGAGGAACACCGAUGGCGAAGGCAGCCCCCUGGGUCGACACUGACGCCUCGAGGCACGAAAGCGUGGGGAGCAAACAGG